ACGAACGCUGGCGGCGUGCCUAAUACAUGCAAGUCGAACGCUUCUUUUUCCACCGGAGCUUGCUCCACCGGAAAAAGAGGAGUGGCGAACGGGUGAGUAACACGUGGGUAACCUGCCCAUCAGAAGGGGAUAACACUUGGAAACAGGUGCUAAUACCGUAUAACAAUCGAAACCGCAUGGUUUUGAUUUGAAAGGCGCUUUCGGGUGUCGCUGAUGGAUGGACCCGCGGUGCAUUAGCUAGUUGGUGAGGUAACGGCUCACCAAGGCGACGAUGCAUAGCCGACCUGAGAGGGUGAUCGGCCACAUUGGGACUGAGACACGGCCCAAACUCCUACGGGAGGCAGCAGUAGGGAAUCUUCGGCAAUGGACGAAAGUCUGACCGAGCAACGCCGCGUGAGUGAAGAAGGUUUUCGGAUCGUAAAACUCUGUUGUUAGAGAAGAACAAGGAUGAGAGUAACUGUUCAUCCCUUGACGGUAUCUAACCAGAAAGCCACGGCUAACUACGUGCCAGCAGCCGCGGUAAUACGUAGGUGGCAAGCGUUGUCCGGAUUUAUUGGGCGUAAAGCGAGCGCAGGCGGUUUCUUAAGUCUGAUGUGAAAGCCCCCGGCUCAACCGGGGAGGGUCAUUGGAAACUGGGAGACUUGAGUGCAGAAGAGGAGAGUGGAAUUCCAUGUGUAGCGGUGAAAUGCGUAGAUAUAUGGAGGAACACCAGUGGCGAAGGCGGCUCUCUGGUCUGUAACUGACGCUGAGGCUCGAAAGCGUGGGGAGCAAACAGGAUUAGAUACCCUGGUAGUCCACGCCGUAAACGAUGAGUGCUAAGUGUUGGAGGGUUUCCGCCCUUCAGUGCUGCAGCUAACGCAUUAAGCACUCCGCCUGGGGAGUACGACCGCAAGGUUGAAACUCAAAGGAAUUGACGGGGGCCCGCACAAGCGGUGGAGCAUGUGGUUUAAUUCGAAGCAACGCGAAGAACCUUACCAGGUCUGGACAUCCUUUCACCACUCUAGAGAUAGAGCUUCCCCUUCGGGGGCAAAGUGACAGGUGGUGCAUGGUUGUCGUCAGCUCGUGUCGUGAGAUGUUGGGUUAAGUCCCGCAACGAGCGCAACCCUUAUUGUUAGUUGCCAUCAUUUAGUUGGGCACUCUAGCAAGACUGCCGGUGACAAACCGGAGGAAGGUGGGGAUGACGUCAAAUCAUCAUGCCCCUUAUGACCUGGGCUACACACGUGCUACAAUGGGAAGUACAACGAGUCGCAAAGUCGCGAGGCUAAGCUAAUCUCUUAAAGCUUCUCUCAGUUCGGAUUGUAGGCUGCAACUCGCCUACAUGAAGCCGGAAUCGCUAGUAAUCGCGGAUCAGCACGCCGCGGUGAAUACGUUCCCGGGCCUUGUACACACCGCCCGUCACACCAUGAGAGUCGGGAACACCCGAAGUCCGUAGUCUAACCGCAAGGAGGGCGCGGCCGAAGGUGGGUCUGAUAAUUGGGGUG
rnacentral:rRNA from 1 species